rnacentral:rRNA from 1 species
AUUGAACGCUGGCGGCAUGCCUUACACAUGCAAGUCGAACGGUAACAGGUCUUCGGAUGCUGACGAGUGGCGAACGGGUGAGUAAUACAUCGGAACGUGCCUAGUAGCGGGGGAUAACUACUCGAAAGAGUGGCUAAUACCGCAUGAGAUCUACGGAUGAAAGCAGGGGAUCGCAAGACCUUGUGCUACUAGAGCGGCCGAUGGCAGAUUAGGUAGUUGGUGGGAUAAAAGCUUACCAAGCCGACGAUCUGUAGCUGGUCUGAGAGGACGGUCAGUCACACUGGGACUGAGACACGGCCCAGACUCCUACGGGAGGCAGCAGUGGGGAAUUUUGGACAAUGGGCGCAAGCCUGAUCCAGCAAUGCCGCGUGCAGGAUGAAGGCCUUCGGGUUGUAAACUGCUUUUGUACGGAACGAAAAGCCCUGGGUUAAUACCCUGGGGUCAUGACGGUACCGUAAGAAUAAGCACCGGCUAACUACGUGCCAGCCGCCGCAGUAAAAC